GCAGGCCUAACACAUGCAAGUCGAGCGGUAGCACAGAGAAGCUUGCUUCUUGGGUGACGAGCGGCGGACGGGUGAGUAACGCGUGGGAAUCUACCUGGUAGUGGGGGACAACAGUCGGAAACGACUGCUAAUACCGCAUACGCCCUUAGGGGGAAAGUGGGGGAUCUUCGGACCUUACGCUAUCAGAUGAGCCCGCGUCGGAUUAGCUUGUUGGUGAGGUAAAGGCUCACCAAGGCGAUGAUCCGUAGCUGGUCUGAGAGGAUGACCAGCCACACUGGGACUGAGACACGGCCCAGACUCCUACGGGAGGCAGCAGUGGGGAAUAUUGGACAAUGGGGGCAACCCUGAUCCAGCCAUGCCGCGUGUGUGAAGAAGGCCUUUCGGGUUGUAAAGCACUUUCAGCCUGUGAGGAAAGGUGUGAGGUUAAU
rnacentral:rRNA from 1 species